GACGAACGCUGGCGGCGUGCUUAACACAUGCAAGUCGAACGGAAAGGCCCUGCUUUUGUUGGGUGCUCGAGUGGCGAACGGGUGAGUAACACGUGAGUAACCUGCCCUUGACUUUGGGAUAACUUCAGGUAACUGGGGCUAAUACCGGAUAGGAGCUCCUGCUGCAUGGGGGGGGUUGGAAAGUUUCGGCGGUUGGGGAUGGACUCGCGGCUUAUCAGCUUGUUGGUGGGGUAGUGGCUUACCAAGGCUUUGACGGGUAGCCGGCCUGAGAGGGUGACCGGCCACAUUGGGACUGAGGUACGGCCCAGACUCCUACGGGAGGCAGCAGUGGGGAAUAUUGCACAAUGGGCGGAAGCCUGAUGCAGCAACGCCGCGUGCGGGAUGACGGCCUUCGGGUUGUAAACCGCUUUCGCCUGUGACGAAGCGUGAGUGACGGUAAUGGGUAAAGAAGCACCGGCUAACUACGUG
rnacentral:rRNA from 1 species